CAUGGAGAGUAAAAGGACCACCGAAGGAUUCGGUAACAGUAAGCAGGAUGUUUACUGGUCAGGAUGACAAAAGGACCACUUCAGGGUUGAAGUAAAGGACACCUCCAGGAAGGAGAUGAGAGUUGAUAUAGGAUGUAUCGACGGGUUAGGGAAAGCCAAAGGAUCUCUUCAGGACGAAGAUAAAAGGACAAUGCUGACGGAUUACAGCAGUCAAUGGAAUGAUGCAGGGAGCACCAUAGUAGCCGGAUUGCUGCAAGUAAGACCUAAGGGCGCGACGCAAGUCGCGCCCGCUCUUUUAUGU
rnacentral:other from 1 species